CUGGGGCAUCUCCUUGUGCCACAAAGCAGCUGUUUCAACAGGACCCCUCUGCAAGACUCCUUCAACCACAUGACGCCUUCACUGCUGUCUGCCCAGACAACUUCAUUGUGUCCACCAGAAGUCAGUAUGACGCAACUUCCCAGAUCACACUGUGAAAGCUGCCGAGGAGCUGAGACUUUGCCUGUCCUCCCUUCAAGACAGUGCACGCCAUAGUGCCUGCUGGGUCCUCGCAUCUGCCCCUGCAAUCCAUCCCUCCUCCUGACCACCAUGGCCCAUCCUCUGUAUUAUCCUUGUGGCAUGAGCCCACACCGCUGGGACGUGAGAUCUGUUGAAUACAUUUAUCUUUGUGUGUAUAGCCCCAUUUAGGCGCUGUGGGGCAGGAACUAAAUGAGGUAUCUUUUGGCAUCUCAAAAUAAAACCCAACACCUUGGA
rnacentral:lncRNA from 1 species